GUCCAUGUCGAAGCCAGGGAUGUUUAAGGAAAAGUCUCGCGCCACACUCCCGAAGAAGGCCGCUUCAGAAGCACAAACACAAGUGUUAGGGGACUCUGAACGUGUCCUUACGCCACGAAGGAUACCGAAGGAGUGAAGGCGUCUAGCUAAGACAUGGGUUUAAGGCGCUCCUUUGGGGAAAGACGGCGCCGUUGCAGGAGGCCUGCCGACGACUGACACAAGACGUCGCAGGGGAACGACGCGCGCCGCCGUCUGCCAUCCCCACCCCCGGACUCGCCACGCCCCCGGAGGGGAAGCCCUAAUUAAGUCGUAUUUUUAAGUAGCUACUAAGAUUUUUAAAGGACGACUCUCGGUUUCAUUGUUUAUUAACGCUCUUCGCGCCCGGAAAACGGCCCGCGCCCGGAGCCGUUCCGGGCAGCGGCACGGCGCGACUUGGCCAGGCCCGGACUUGCAUUUCGGAAAAAUUUGCGACAAAUCACGUGCAGUCAGAAAUACAAACACCAUCGAGGCAUACUUCAGCGUAUUUUGGCUUGAUGGCUCUGUUUUUCAUUGUUUUUAUAUCGGGAUUCUCUCCACAAUAAGCACAAAAAACUCGAAGCGAUAGAAAACUGAAGUAUGGUUCGAUAACUUUAAAUCAAGCUUUUAGUAGUUUUGUAUUGAAAGAGGGAUGGUUUUGUCUGAAUCGAUGGAAUAGCUAUUGGAAAAAUAUUAUUCUAGGAUUUGAGAUUACACACUAAAUAAUAAAUGGAAAAGAAUUGUGGUAAACUCGGGUGCUCGGGAAUCGACGGACACUUCACCAGCGAAAACCUUUUUUAAAUUUAGCUUCACGUGAGCAAACGAACUAAGGAGUUUGUAUUAGCAAUUAAUUAAUUUAACAGUCUUUACACAUUCACUUUUUUAAUAAUGUCCAUCGUGAAAAAUCCCCGAAAAAAAUUAAACCCGAACACGAAUUUUAAUUUGUGUACUCACAAUUUUAUUCCUGUUCACUUGAUCAUUUUUAUUUUAUAGCCUAAUAUUGACGUUUAAUGCCAAUAAUUUAAUUAGCGCAAUUUGGGGACACAUUUUUUUUAAUUAAACGCUUUUUAAUUUU